CCUGUGGGUCAACUUGUGCUCACAUCUGCUCACCUGCCUCAUGAAGCGCUCCACAGCACCUGUGCACAGAUAGCUCAGAAGCUAGCAGCCCCGCGUGCGCAAUCAAUGAACAUCACAGCAUCUGUUUUUUUCUGAGGGUUGCAGGGGACUGGAGCCAAUCACAGCUGUGACAGGAUAAAAGUCACAUGGAGCUCUUAAACCACACUAAUGAUGAAAGGCCAACCACUGAAAUCAGUCUCCGUAUUGGGCUUCAAAGCAGAGGGAAGAAACUGUUGGAUGAUGCCAGGAACCUAAGUUCUCUGCUUGGAGCGCAACCACAAAAUGCUUCAGUCUGUUUCUCCUAUUUCCAGCCAAGAAAAGUGCUUACCUGUUCUCCAUGAACAGGAAAUCCCACCUGCCAGCUGAGUACCUUCUUGUAGACUGUUCCGGAAACAAACGAUGUUUUCAGUCGCUGGCCUGUGAAAUAUCCAGCCUCUUCCACCACUCACCAGUUGGUUACAAAGGCCAGGAUACAAGUCUCUCAAUAAACCUUCCAAAACUCCUG